rnacentral:rRNA from 1 species
GUGGGGAAUAUUCCGCAAUGGACGAAAGUCUGACGGAGCAACGCCGCGUGAGUGAUGAAGGUUUUCGGACUGUAAAGCUCUGUUGUUUAGGACGAAAGUGCCUGUUGCAAACAGUUACAGGUAUUGACGGUACUAAACGAGGAAGCCACGGCUAACUACGUGCCAGCAGCCGCGGUAAUACGUAGGUGGCAAGCGUUGUCCGGAAUUAUUGGGCGUAAAGAGCAUGUAGGCGGGAAUCUAAGUCUGUUGUGAAAAUGCGGGGCUCAACCCCGUAUUGCGAUGGAAACUGGGUUUCUUGAGUACAGGAGAGGAAAGGGGAAUUCCCAGUGUAGCGGUGAAAUGCGUAGAUAUUGGGAGGAACACCAGUGGCGAAGGCGCCUUUCUGGACUGUGUCUGACGCUGAGAUGCGAAAGCCAGGGUAGCGAACGGGAUUAGAAACCCCUGUAGUCC